rnacentral:rRNA from 1 species
GAUGAACGCUGGCGGCGUGCCUAAUACAUGCAAGUCGAGCGAACGGACGAGAAGCUUGCUUCUCUGAUGUUAGCGGCGGACGGGUGAGUAACACGUGGAUAACCUACCUAUAAGACUGGGAUAACUUCGGGAAACCGGAGCUAAUACCGGAUGAUAUUUUGAACCGCAUGGUUCAAAAGUGAAAGACGGUCUUGCUGUCACUUAUAGAUGGAUCCGCGCUGCAUUAGCUAGUUGGUAAGGUAACGGCUUACCAAGGCAACGAUGCAUAGCCGACCUGAGAGGGGGAUCGGCCACACUGGAACUGAGACACGGUCCAGACUACUACGGGAGGCAGCAGUAGGGAAUCUUACGCAAUGGGCGAAAGCAUGACGGAGCAACGCCGCGUGAGUGAUGAAGGUCUUCGGAUCGUAAAACUCUGUUAUUAGGGGAGAAAAUAUGUGUAAGUAACUGUGCACAUCUUGACGGUACCUAAUCAGAAAGCAACGGCUAACUACGUG